rnacentral:rRNA from 1 species
AUUGAACGCUGGCGGCAGGCUUAACACAUGCAAGUCGAGCGGAGCGAGGGUGCUUGCACCUUAGCUUAGCGGCGGACGGGUGAGUAAUGCUUAGGAAUCUGCCUAUUAGUGGGGGACAACAUUCCGAAAGGAAUGCUAAUACCGCAUACGCCCUACGGGGGAAAGCAGGGGAUCUUCGGACCUUGCGCUAAUAGAUGAGCCUACGUCGGAUUAGCGAGUUGGUGGGGUAAAGGCCUACCAAGGCGACGAUCUGUAGCGGGUCUGAGAGGAUGAUCCGCCACACUGGGACUGAGACACGGCCCAGACUCCUACGGGAGGCAGCAGUGGGGAAUAUUGGACAAUGGGCGGAAGCCUGAUCCAGCCAUGCCGCGUGUGUGAAGAAGGCCUUUUGGUUGUAAAGCACUUUAAGCGAGGAGGAGGCUACUUAGAUUAAUACUCUGGGAUAGUGGACGUUACUCGCAGAAUAAGCACCGGCUAACUCUGUGCCAGCCGCCGCUGUAACAC